AGGUCUAACCUGCCCAAUGAGGAAUUAAAUGGCCGCAGUAUUUUGACUGUGCAAAGGUAGCAUAAUUAUUAGUUUUUUAAUUGAAAGCUUGUAUGAAGGGUUGGACGAGAUAAAAUCUGUCUUUAUUUAAAUUACAAUAGAAUUUAACUUUUAAGUCAAAAGGCUUAAAUGUAUAUAAAAGACGAGAAGACCCUAUAGAUCUUUAUUUAAUUAAUAUUUUGAUAAUUUAAGAUUAUUUUAGUUUAAAGUUUUAAUUAAAUUUUAUUGGGGUAAUAUAGAGAUUAAAUAAAUUCUUUUUAUUUAUUACAUUGAUUUAUGAAUAUAUGAUCCAAUAUUAUUGAUUAUAAGAUUAAGUUACCUUAGGGAUAACAGCGUAAUUUUUUUGGAGAGCUCAUAUCGAUAAAAAAGUUUGCGACCUCGAUGUUGGAUUAAAAAUUAGCUUGGGUGCAGAAGCUCAAGAUUUUGGUCUGUUCGACCAUUAAAUUUUUACAUGAUCUGAGUUCAGACCGGUGUAAGCCAGGUCGGUUUCUAUCUUUAUUUAUCUAAAAUAUUUUAGUACGAAAGGACCAAAUAUUUAAUAUAAUUAUAUUUCUUUUUUGAAUAAUAUU
rnacentral:rRNA from 1 species